UUCAUUUUUGAUCUUAGAGUGAGUUAAUCAUCGCGAAUAUGCAGCUAUCUCUAUAAAGCCUUUUGAAUAAUCGGCGUUCUUGCGCAGCGUAUGUAUUAUAAAAUCACAUUGUACAGUGAUAAAGUACUCUAUUAUUUAUUUCGAUUUUUGUUCUCAAUGAACAUUUUACUCGCCAAUCUCAUUUAACUAUGUUUACUGAUCGUGCAUUCUGCAAGAAAUGUGUAUUCAUAAUUUACAAAGACGUUCGCUUACCUGGGCGUCGAUGUUGCCAAGCCAGGCGAAUUCUCGUAUCAGCUCCGUGAGAUACGAUGGCAGUUAUAUUUGUGAUGCACCAUCAUCUCUCCGAAGAAUAUCUUGACUGUUGCUGAUUGCCUGGAUAAUAUCGUAACUCAAACCUACGACAAUCGAUUCUUCACGGUUGCGACUGGCUCCAUUAAAAACAAUGAAGCCGCGAGAUUUACGCUGUAGAGAGCAUUACCAAACAUCCGGGAUACACGGGCAUGGAAAAUUCUUGGGAGAAUAACAUUGCAGUAAUCAUAUAUUCGACAGCCCGAUUAGAUUCAAUCAAUACCAACAUUCGAUCCCCCUAGCCACCGAUAAGCUUGUUAGCGGAACGAGAUAUAUCGUAUCUGGAUGGAAUAAUAACGGACGGUUCGAAUUCUGAAAACUCGGAUGGUCUCUUCUGAAAACGGAAAAGAUCGUGAUCACGAAGAGCCAAUGCCAACGAAGCUACGAUAAUACUUUGAGUGAAGACAACUUGUGCACGAUCUGCAGUUCCAAUGGAAUUGGUGAUUGCUUUGCUCUUGAGGCAGGUAUAACUAUGCGGAUUACUACUAAUUUCCAACGCAUUUUUAAGAACAAAAUAGUUAAUAAUUUGUAAAAAAAAGUAUCAUAAAAAAUAAUGAAUUUUGUUGUUUAUAAAACAAUUAAUAUAGUAUUUGUUUACCCAUUCUAAAGGCAGUAUAAAAAGCUACGAUUUAAUUUUUUUGUUAAAAAUUAUGAUGUAUCACAAUAAAUUUUGCCGAAUGCUAAA